CUCCUCCGCGCUCGUCCUCACCGCCGCCACGGCCCACGCCCUCGCCGCCGGGUAACUCGACUAGGCCGCCGGCGGUCCUCGCCCUCGCCUCCUCGACUGCGGCGCGACCCCUCUUGCCUGCGCCACCGACGUCGUCGGCGCGCUCUCGUGCGAGGCCGCGCGCCUGGUCCGUCCCCGAAGCACCCGCCGCCUCCAAGGACAGGGCCGACCUCAGGAGGGUCCUACUCGGGUCCUCCAACCGCACGGCCACCGGCGUCCUUACGGCGGCCUCGUUCUCCAGGGUGCCGGGGAGCGGCGCGCGCUCAAUGCUCCGGUACUGAAGCUCGGGA
rnacentral:rRNA from 1 species